rnacentral:rRNA from 1 species
CGCGUAGGCGGUUUGGCAAGUCCGGUGUGAAAUCUCACAGCUCAACUGUGAAACUGCAUCGGAAACUGCUUUACUAGAGUGCGGGAGAGGAGAGUGGAAUUCCCAGUGUAGAGGUGAAAUUCGUAGAUAUUGGGAGGAACACCGGUGGCGAAGGCGGCUCUCUGGACCGCAACUGACGCUGAGGCGCGAAAGCUAGGGGAGCGAACG